GCCGGGCGUGGUGGCGCAUGCCUGUAGUCCCAGCUACUUGGGAGGCUGAGGCGGGAGAAUCGCUUGAACCCAGGAGGCCGAGGUUGCAGUGAGCCUAGAUUGCGCCACUGCACUCCAGCCUGGGUGACAGAGCGGGACUCCAUCUGAA
ensembl:misc_RNA Metazoa_SRP Metazoan signal recognition particle RNA